GCGGACAUGGUGGAAUUGGUAGACACACUAGGUUUAGGCCCUAGAGGUUUAUGCCUUGCGGGUUCAAGUCCUGCUGUCCGUA
rnacentral:tRNA from 1 species